UUUCACCUCUUUUGUACCUUCCCUCAGAAAACCCGGAGAGAGGUUGGAAACAAGGUCACGACCUAAUGCUCCUCAGCCGUGCAGGCCAAUGCUUUGUGGCGUCAUCAGCUGCCCACCGUGAGCUGGUCACCACUUUGAGUCCAGUUCCCCCUGGCACCUCUUGCCUAGUGGAUAAUAUCAUACCUCACUUUCCAGCAGAGAAACCGAGCUGCAGAAGUUGAAUGAAGGUCUCUAGGGAUGCUCUUGGGUCCAUCAUUCAUUAUGUGAAAUAUGAAAGGCCUCAACCAUAUGUUCCCAAGCCCCUGGGUUGCUGACUGGCAAGAGGAGAGAAGCCACUCCACCAAGCUGAAACAGUACCUGUCCCUCACGGUGGGGAGCUGAGGCAGCCCAGCAACCAGUCAAUUUUUGCAGGACCAGAAGCACCAUUAGAGGCCUUGCUUGCUGAUUCAUUUCCAUACCUCGUUGAUCUCCACCCACAGAACAAUAUGUAGAAGCAUUUUCAAACAGUUCGCACCAAAUGCCCUCACUAACAUUCCAAAGCAGCUACAGAGGAAAUUAAUGGUUUCCUUCAGAGGCUUUUAUUUAUACAAAUGCAAAAACUCCUAUUUAUACCUUCCCAGAUUUGUAGACCUCUUGCUGUUGUUUUUUCCUCCUGUUGCUUGGAGUAAAGAAGUGGGAAUGAUGCAAAAAUGAAACCACUUUAGUAAUACAGGAGAGUGACCGUUUGGUGUCAAAUUGUGGACUAUGGUGAGUACAUGCAUGGAGUCAGGAGACACAGAACAGCCAGUGACCCUGUAGUGCAAACAUGAUCAAGUCCCACACACCUUUCCCAUCUAUAAACCUUUGAAUGCCUUCCCAUUGCUCUAGGAAAAAGACGAAAUUCUUAAUGGGGCUUGCCUUUCUCUCUCUGGUGCUUGCCUGUCUCUCUCUGGUGCUUGCCUGUCUGUCUCUGGUGCUUCUCUAGCCUCAUUUUGCAGCCACUUUGCCCCCUCUACAGUCACGCCCCCUUUGUCUUUCAGUUCCGUGAUUGUAUCAUGUUCCCUCCAGUCUCAGCACCUUUACGCGCAUGCAUUCCUCCUGCCUAGAAUAUCGUUCCUGCUCAGCCCUUCAUCUAGUUUAACCCCUAAUACUCUUCAACCCCCAACACGAAUAUUAUUUGCUCAAAGCAACAGUCCGGGUCUUUCUGUCUCCCUGCCAUUCUCUUCUAGCCUCAUUACUCCCCUGUUUAUUCAUGUGCUGAAUGAGGCUAACACCUCUCCUGUCACUCUCUAGAUUUUCUGCAAAUAUUAAAUGAGGUAUAUGGGAUGGCAGAUGCAGAAUGUAUGUCUAUUCCAACUUUCUAGUGUACCUUCCUGUACCGAAGAGACUAGUAAGCUAAAACCUAGUUUCCAUACUCCCUUGCAACUACGUCUCCUAGGUGGUUUGGGUUCUACCAAUCAAAUAUCCUUGAACAGGGCUGAAAUGUAGAUAGCUGAGAAGGGAGAGGGGCAGGGAUGAAGUAUGCAUUCUGCUAGUAUAGAUCAGAGCUACAGUCACAUGGCUAUGGAGCCAACAGCACUGAUCUCCAACUCAAAACAAAGGUAAUGCAUUCUUGGACCCAACAUUUCUGGCAGUGGCUUCCUGAUUGUGGCAUAGGCAGAUGCUGUAAUGGCAGGCCAGUUCUGGAACACAGCUGUGGGAAUCAUCCUGGAGGUCCAUGCUGAAGCCUCCUCCAGCCCUUCCAGCCAUGUUGGGCCCAGAGCUUCCAGCCAAGGAGGGGCCAUGAAAAGAAUCAUCAGUCAUGGAGUUUCAGGAAGAGCAGGCAAGUGGCCACAC
rnacentral:lncRNA from 1 species